rnacentral:rRNA from 1 species
UGCUAUUUUGGUGCGGUUUAGUUGUUUCUUGCUUAUAUAUUUAUUAAAGUGUGGUUUAAAAAACAAAAUUUUGUAUUAUAGGGUAAGUAAAGUGAUGAAAGCUUAUUUUAGGCUAUAGUUGAGUUAGUACCGUGAGGGGUUGAUAUUAAUUUAUGGUAAAGAAAAUUUUUAUGCUUGUACCUUUUGUAUCAGGGACAACUAAAAUAUUUAAUCUAUUGGUUUGGGUCUCGAAAUGGAGCGAGUAAAUAAAUUAUAAUUGUUUAUGUGGAAUAAUGAAAUUAUUAAUAAUUUAUUAGUAGUGAUAUGCUAGCCGAGCUUUAUAUAUCUAGUUUUUUCUGAAGUAAAUUUAAUUUAGUUUUUUAUUUAAGGAUGUAAAAAUCAAAUUUUAAGAGGGAUGAGCUUUUUAAAAUUUAUGUGUAUAGUAAUAAAAUAUUUUUGUCUUUUAUUUAGGCUUAAGAUCAGCCAUAUUAUUAAAUCGUUUUAGACAAUAAGUUUAUCAAAAUUUAUUUAUAUUUUACUUGCAUGGUGUAAGAAAAAUUUAGCUUUAAUUUGUUCUGUAAUUUUAGAGUGGUUGUAUUAGUAGACUGUUUUGUAUCUUUGAGAUUUAAACUUUGUGUAUAAAUUAUACAAAAGGAGAAAAUAAAUUUAAGGAAUUCGGCAAAUUUUGCCUCCGCCUGUUUAUCAAAAACAUGUCUGUACUGGUUGUUGGUGNNNNAGUCUGGCCUGCUCUCUGAGGUAUUAAAGGGCCGCGGUAUUUGGACCGUGCUAAGGUAGCAUAAUAAAUAGUCUUUUAAUUGAAGUCUAGUAUGAAUGGUCGGACGUGAGGCGAGCUGUUUCAAUUGUAGAGUUUGAAUUUUACCUUUAAGUGAAAAGGCUUAAAUUGUAUGGUGGGACGAUAAGACCCUAUAAAGCUUUAUAUUUCAUCUAUUAUGGCGUGGUAGUUAAGGUUUAUCAUUUUUAUGGGUUGAAGUAUUUCGUUGGGGCGACGAGAAUAUAAAAUAGUAACUGUUCGUGUUGAAAAAUAAAAAUAUUUAGGUGUUUUGAUCCUGUGUUAAGAUUAAAAGAAUUAAGUUACUUUAGGGAUAACAGCGUAAUUUCUCUUGAGAGUUCAUAUCGACAGAUGUAGUUGCGACCUCGAUGUUGAAUUAAAAUGUCUUCAAAAUGUAGCAGUUUUGGUAGUGGGUCUGUUCGACCUUUAAAAUUUU